GGAAUACUUUAUGCUUGUUUUGAAAACAAUCUAAGAUUUUUUUUCGUAUUCUU
rnacentral:tRNA from 1 species